UGGGUAGCACUUUUGUCCUUUCUGUAUCGGUACUGAAGGAAAUUCACGGUUUGCAGGUUUUGACUGAAGAAAUCAUGGACAAACUCGUAAAAGAAGGUGUUCUAUCAAGGGCCGGAAGGGACAAUUUCACCAUUAAUAAGCUAAAGAAUCUCGACUCUGAGUUUGCUGCCGUUAGAGAAGAAAAGGAGGCUCAAGAAAUUCC